GACGAACGCUGGCGGCGUGCCUAAUACAUGCAAGUAGAACGCUGAAGGAGGAGCUUGCUUCUCUGGAUGAGUUGCGAACGGGUGAGUAACGCGUAGGUAACCUGCCUGGUAGCGGGGGAUAACUAUUGGAAACGAUAGCUAAUACCGCAUAAGAGUAGAUGUUGCAUGACAUUUACUUAAAAGGUGCAAUUGCAUCACUACCAGAUGGACCUGCGUUGUAUUAGCUAGUUGGUGAGGUAACGGCUCACCAAGGCAACGAUACAUAGCCGACCUGAGAGGGUGAUCGGCCACACUGGGACUGAGACACGGCCCAGACUCCUACGGGAGGCAGCAGUAGGGAAUCUUCGGCAAUGGACGGAAGUCUGACCGAGCAACGCCGCGUGAGUGAAGAAGGUUUUCGGAUCGUAAAGCUCUGUUGUAAGAGAAGAACGAGUGUGAGAGUGGAAGGUUCACACUGUGACGGUAUCUUACCAGAAAGGGACGGCUAACUACGUG
rnacentral:rRNA from 1 species